rnacentral:rRNA from 1 species
UAGGGAAUCUUCCACAAUGGACGCAAGUCUGAUGGAGCAACGCCGCGUGAGUGAAGAAGGUUUUCGGACCGUAAAGCUCUGUUGUUGGUGAAGAAGGAUAGAGGUAGUAACUGGCCUUUAUUUGACGGUAAUCAACCAGAAAGUCACGGCUAACUACGUGCCAGCAGCCGCGGUAAUACGUAGGUGGCAAGCGUUGUCCGGAUUUAUUGGGCGUAAAGCGAGCGCAGGCGGAAGAAUAAGUCUGAUGUGAAAGCCCUCGGCUUAACCGAGGAAUUGCAUCGGAAACUGUUUUUCUUGAGUGCAGAAGAGGAGAGUAGAACUCCAUGUGUAGCGGUGGAAUGCGUAGAUAUACGGAAGAAUACCAGUGGCGAAGGCGGCUCUCUGGUCUGCAACUGACGCUGAGGCUCGAAAAGCAUGGGUAGCGAACAGGAUUAGAUACCCUGGUAGUCCAUGCCGUAAACGAUGAGUGCUAAGUGUUGGGAGGCUUCCGCCUCUCAGUGCUGCAGCUAACGCAUUAAGCACUCCGCCUGGGGGAGUACGACCGCAAGGUUGAAAC